rnacentral:rRNA from 1 species
GACGAACGCUGGCGGCGUGCCUAAUACAUGCAAGUAGAACGCUGAAGGAGGAGCUUGCUUCUCCGGAUGAGUUGCGGACGGGUGAGUAACGCGUAGGUAACCUGCCUGGUAGCGGGGGAUAACUAUUGGAAACGAUAGCUAAUACCGCAUAAGAGUAGAUGUCGCAUGACAUUUGCUUAAAAGUUGCAACUGCACCACUACCAGAUGGACCUGCGUUGUAUUAGCUAGUUGGUGAGGUAACGGCUCACCAAGGCAACGAUACAUAGCCGACCUGAGAGGGGGAUCGGCCACACUGGGACUGAGACACGGCCCAGACUCCUACGGGAGGCAGCAGUAGGGAAUCUUCGGCAAGGGACGGAAGUCUGACCGAGCAACGCCGCGGGAGUGAAGAAGGUUUUCGGAUCGUAAAGCUCUGUUGUAAGAGAAGAACGAGUGUGAGAGUGGAAAGUUCACACUGUGACGGUAUCUUACCAGAAAGGGACGGCUAACUACGUG